UAGGGAAUCUUCGGCAAUGGACGAAAGUCUGACCGAGCAACGCCGCGUGAGUGAAGAAGGUUUUCGGAUCGUAAAACUCUGUUGUUAGAGAAGAACAAGGACGUUAGUAACUGAACGUCCCCUGACGGUAUCUAACCAGAAAGCCACGGCUAACUACGUGCCAGCAGCCGCGGUAAUACGUAGGUGGCAAGCGUUGUCCGGAUUUAUUGGGCGUAAAGCGAGCGCAGGCGGUUUCUUAAGUCUGAUGUGAAAGCCCCCGGCUCAACCGGGGAGGGUCAUUGGAAACUGGGUGACUUGAGUGCAGAAGAGGAGAGUGGAAUUCCAUGUGUAGCGGUGAAAUGCGUAGAUAUAUGGAGGAACACCGGUGGCGAAGGCGGCUCUCUGGUCUGUAACUGACGCUGAGGCUCGAAAGCGUGGGGAGCAAACAGG
rnacentral:rRNA from 1 species